GCGGGGACGGGGACGGGGUGAGGAGCAGCGCGCGCGCGAGGUGUAAGGGGGGGGGCGGGGAUUGGUUGCCAUGGCAGUGACGUCAAAGAGUGCCGGGGACAGGGAGCGGAGACACGGAAAAGUGCUGGAGUGGGGUUCUGUGCUUUACGUGCCCCAGGGCAUGGCUCAAUCUAGCAAACCCUGGAGUGAAGCUGCUAUCAGCGUGUGGAGACUGAGUGCCACCGACAGCCUGUUGUCUGUUCGUGCUCAGAGAGUUAUGUGGAAGGACAGGAGUGACUCAGUAAUAGGAAGUAUUAGUUGCACUGAGGCAAAACCAGGAGCAUAUGUGAGAAAACAAUUCUCAAACAAGAAGUCUGUAGAACAGCAAGGAAAAGCAGCAUUUAAAUCUGCACUGUUCCAGCUGUGCUGCUGUCUCCAGGCAGUCUGACAUCACCUAGCAAGAGAAAAACGUGCUGUACAGCUGUAAUAGGAUUAAGCAG
rnacentral:lncRNA from 1 species